rnacentral:rRNA from 1 species
UACGUAGGGCGCAAGCGUUGUCCGGAAUUAUUGGGCGUAAAGGGCUCGUAGGCGGCUUGUCACGUCGAUUGUGAAAGCUCGGGGCUUAACCCCGAGUCUGCAGUCGAUACGGGCUAGCUAGAGUGUGGUAGGGGAGAUCGGAAUUCCUGGUGUAGCGGUGAAAUGCGCAGAUAUCAGGAGGAACACCGGUGGCGAAGGCGGAUCUCUGGGCCAUUACUGACGCUGAGGCGCGAAAGCUAGGGGAGCGAACAGG